UGGGGAAUUUUGGACAAUGGGGGAAACCCUGAUCCAGCCAUCCCGCGUGUGCGAUGAAGGCCUUCGGGUUGUAAAGCACUUUUGGCAGGAAAGAAACGUCAUGGGUUAAUACCCCGUGAAACUGACGGUACCUGCAGAAUAAGCACCGGCUAACUACGUGCCAGCAGCCGCGGUAAUACGUAGGGUGCAAGCGUUAAUCGGAAUUACUGGGCGUAAAGCGUGCGCAGGCGGUUCGGAAAGGAAGAUGUGAAAUCCCAGAGCUCAACUUUGGAACUGCAUUUUUAACUACCGGGCUAGAGUGUGUCAGAGGGGGGUGGAAUUCCGCGUGUAGCAGUGAAAUGCGUAGAUAUGCGGAGGAACACCGAUGGCGAAGGCAGCCUCCUGGGAUAACACUGACGCUCAUGCACGAAAGCGUGGGGAGCAAACAGG
rnacentral:rRNA from 1 species